AGUCAAGUAAUUAAGUGCAUGUGGUGGAUGCCUUGGCAGUCAGAGGCGAUGAAAGACGUGAUAGCCUGCGAAAAGCUCCGGGGAGGCGGCAAAUAUCCUUUGAUCCGGAGAUGUCUGAAUGGGGGAACCCACCUACUUUAAGGUAGGUAUUGCAACAUGAAUACAUAGUGUUG
rnacentral:rRNA from 1 species